UUACUCUUGUGGAUAUAAACUCUUCUACUUUCGUCGUAGAUUCAAGGAAGCUUUUGUGGAUUUCUAGGUUUUCUUUCCUUCACUUGUUGUUGGGUGAUUUUUCGUUUUAGUCCAAGGAACCGGAACCAUCUUGUUAUGAGAAAUAAUUGAUUUUUAUUUUCCACAUUAACUGGACACUUCGAUGAUAAGUUUUUUACCUUUUCCAGAUGUUGUACUAGCUACAAAUGUUCGGGAUUUAUUCAAGGUCUAUAGCAGUAACUAGUAGAUGCCCACCAUUAUACUAAAAACAAGACCCCUUUGAAAAUUUCUAGUUUUAUGAUGAGCUGUCUUCAAGGUUUAUGUGUAAAUGUAUGGAUUAAUUGAAAUUAGAUAAGUAUGUUUUGCUACUUGGUAUGAGUAUGCAAUUGAACUUCUUAACUCUAUUGUUGCAAGUCCUCGUGCCUCUCUUGCCAUUUCCUUUAUAUUCUGAUUUUUUGAUUUUAAAUAAGUCAUCUACUUCAGGAAGAAAAUUAUAGGCUGAAUGCAGACUUCAAAGAGCGAAAUGCCUACGUUGAGAGCUGCAGAGCUGAAAUCGUUAUUUUCUAGUCUCAUGAAGGAUUCAAUAGUCAUAAAGCAUAGAGAAACAAGCUACAAGAAGCAUGUAUCCUUUUCUCUUUCUAUUUUGGUCAGGCUUAUUGAAAGGGCAUAGUUUGACUAGACUUUUCUGCUUUUGUAGAUCAUGGUGAAAAAGGAAAGUGAACUUAUUGUUGAAUUUGAUAAGCUAAGACCACAAGUGUUCUUAUUCCUCUGUCGUUGGGUCCUAUUUAUAGGAAAAAUCUCUUGUAGAUGUCACUAAUCAAAUAGUGAGCUUAAAGCCACUGUGACCACGAAACAAGGUGAGGUGGGCACAGAGCUCAUUGAUCACUUAACACCACAGGAAAAACAUGAACUAUCCCAGCUAAACUAAGAAAUAAAAGAUCUUAAAGAGGAGCUUAUUAAAUUUAGAACAGAUCGCAUCGAGGUAAGAUAUCUCAACCUUGUGAGAAGCAACUGUACUUAUCCUUAACAGGUAUUUGUUCUGUUUCACAUGAAGCUUUUGUGGCCUUCCAAGCUACUUCCAUAUUUAUGAUCUGCUUUCUGAUAGGCCUCUUGCUUGCUGUCAUGCAUGCCUAUAUGCUAAUGGGUGUAUGGUAAUACAUUGCCCCAAAAGUUUCUGUAUAUUUGUUGCUAAUUGAGGUGGGUGACUUUUUGGAAGAAAAUAGUUUAUUAUCGUUUAUUAUUGCCACCUGUUGCACUAGAGGUGAUAGAUUGAUGUUGCACUGAUGUGUCUUGGCCUCAAACCCUAGAAAAAUAAUAUUACUUGUCACUGAAAAAUGAGUAAAUAAAAAGAAACGAAUUAUUCCUCAUGCUUUUACAAUGUCUAUCUGCUAUUUGUGAUUUAUUAAGAUACAUUUUGAGUAUUAACAUUAGUUUUUGUUACUAUGAAGGCAAAGGUGAUGGUACAAAUGCAGAAUCUGGAGCACAUGAAGAAGAUUUUCUCAUCCAGGAUGAGAUUUCUAAAUCUUGUCUAGUGAACGUGUAGCGUGUAAGUCAUUCUUUAUGGAGAUGCUGCAUUUUGCAAGUAUUGCAAAAGUUGCAAGUGCUCCAUUAUACAUGCAUCCCUUGUUAUUGAAUUGUUGAUUAUCUGUAGGAGGAAGAGACAAUUUUGCAUGAGAGAGACGGCUAUAAACUGGAAGAGGGACGUCUUAUACGUGAAUUGAAAAGGAUACGAGAUGAGGAUGAUUCAAGUUUUAAUAAUUUUCAGAUUUUAAAUCAUCAAUAUGCCCUUUUAAACCUUCUUGGGCAAGGAGGAUUUAGUGAGGUUUACAAGGUCCGAACUUCGGCAAGUAGUUUCAAUUGAUAAUAGAAAGUAGUUUCAUUUGAUAAUAGAAACACUAACCUUUGCUUGUUUGAUGAAAAUUCUUAUAUACCAUGACAAGAGUAUAGAUCAUUCUGUUGCCAAUAUUGACAAUUGUAAAAGCACAUCCUUUUGCAGUGAUUUGAAGUGAGAAAUUUCCGGCAGGCUUAUGAUUUGGUCGAGCAUAGGUAUGUUCCAUGAAGGUGCAGGGCAUCAUGUUUUAUCUGCUUUUGUUGAGAUUGUGUUGAUAAUUCCGACAAUCACAUCCCGGUCCCUUCCAUUCUUGUCAGGAGUAGAAUUUAGGUUCCUUCUCCCUUUUUGUAUAAGUUAGGAACUUGGGGAUUUUUCAUGUAAUUUUAUUAUGCAGUAAACAUGUAACCUGAAUAGAAUAAUAUACUCCUUAUAUUAUUUUGUUUUUGGAAUAUUAAUGUAUUAAUCUAUGCUUGGGAAA